UAUUUUGGGGGCAUCACACUUUUGAUGGAGCCCAACAGAAUUCGGUCGGAGUAAUUGAAUUACCAAUCGAAAUUGGUCCCCAUAAAUUCUGUGUAUCUUUCCACGCACUCAAGAUAGAUUCGGGAUACAACCUGCUCUUGGGACGACCAUGGAUUCAUAUGGCAGGGGCAGUCCCCUCCACCCUUCAUCAACAGUUAAAAUACAUUAUCAAC
rnacentral:lncRNA from 1 species